rnacentral:rRNA from 1 species
UACGUAGGGGGCAAGCGUUAUCCGGAUUUACUGGGUGUAAAGGGAGCGUAGGCGGCUUAGUAAGUCAGAAGUGAAAGCCCGCAGCUCAACUGCGGGACUGCUUUUGAAACUGCCAGGCUAGAGUGUCGGAGAGGUAAGUGGAAUUCCUAGUGUAGCGGUGAAAUGCGUAGAGAUUAGGAAGAACACCAGUGGCGAAGGCGACUUACUGGACUGUAACUGACGCUGAGGCAUGAGAGCAUGGGGAGCAAACAGG